rnacentral:rRNA from 1 species
GGGGAAUAUUGCACAAUGGGGGGAACCCUGAUGCAGCAACGCCGCGUGAGUGAAGAAGUAUUUCGGUAUGUAAAGCUCUAUCAGCAGGGAAGAAAAUGACGGUACCUGACUAAGAAGCUCCGGCUAAAUAC